GCUACGGGAGGCUGCAGUGAGGAAUAGUGGUCAAUGGGCGAGAGCCUGAACCAGCCAAGUCGCGUGAAGGAUGAAGGAUCUAUGGUUUGUAAACUUCUUUUAUAGGGGAAUAAAGUGAGGAACGUGUGCCUUGUUGUAUGUACCAUAUGAAUAAGCAGCGGCUAACUCCGUGCCAGCAGCCGCGGUAAUACGGAGGAUGCGAGCGUUAUCCGGAUGUAGUGGGUUUAAAGGGUGCGUAGGUGGUUAAUUAAGUCCGCGGUGAAAGUUUGUGGCUCAACCAUAAAAUUGCCUUUGAAACUGGUUUACUUUCUUAUCUUUGAGGUAGGCGUACUUCGUGGUGUAUCGGUGAACUGC
rnacentral:rRNA from 1 species